rnacentral:rRNA from 1 species
AACGAACGCUGGCGGCAUGCCUAACACAUGCCAGUCGAACGAGACCUUCGGGUCUAGUGGCGCACGGGUGCGUAACGCGUGGGAACCUGCCCUUAGGUUCGGAAUAACUCAGAGAAAUUUGAGCUAAUACCGGAUAAUGUCUUCGGACCAAAGAUUUAUCGCCUUUGGAUGGGCCCGCGUAGGAUUAGCUUGUUGGUGGGGUAAUGGCCUACCAAGGCGACGAUCCUUAGCUGGUCUGAGAGGAUGAUCAGCCACACUGGGACUGAAACACGGCCCAGACUCCUACGGGAGGCAGCAGUGGGGAAUAUUGGACAAUGGGCGAAAGCCUGAUCCAGCAAUGCCGCGUGAGUGAUGAAGGCCUUAGGGUUGUAAAGCUCUUUUACCAGGGAUGAUAAUGACAGUACCUGGAGAAUAAGCUCCGGCUAACUCCGUG